UACGGAGGGACCUAGCGUUGUUCGGAAUCACUGGGCUUAAAGGGCGCGUAGGCGGUCGUGUAAGUCAGGUGUGAAAGCCCCCGGCCUAACCGGGGAAUAGCGCCUGAUACUGCACGACUAGAGGGUGGGAGGGGAGAGCGGAAUUCCAGGUGUAGCGGUGAAAUGCGUAGAUAUCUGGGAGAACGCCGAUGGCGAAAGCAGCUCUCUGGUCCACUUCUGACGCUGAGGCACGAAAGCUAGGGGAGCAAACGGG
rnacentral:rRNA from 1 species